rnacentral:rRNA from 1 species
AGUGAACGCUGGCGGUAGGCCUAACACAUGCAAGUCGAACGGCAGCACAGUAAGAGCUUGCUCUUACGGGUGGCGAGUGGCGGACGGGUGAGGAAUACAUCGGAAUCUACUUUUUCGUGGGGGAUAACGUAGGGAAACUUACGCUAAUACCGCAUACGACCUACGGGUGAAAGCAGGGGAUCUUCGGACCUUGCGCGAUUGAAUGAGCCGAUGUCGGAUUAGCUAGUUGGCGGGGUAAAGGCCCACCAAGGCGACGAUCCGUAGCUGGUCUGAGAGGAUGAUCAGCCACCCUGGAACUGAGACACGGUCCAGACUCCUACGGGAGGCAGCAGUGGGGAAUAUUGGACGAUGGGCGCAAGCCUGAUCCAGCCAUACCGCGUGGGUGAAGAGGGCCUUCGGGUUGUAAAGCCCUUUUGUUGGGAAAGAAAAGCAGCAGGUUAAUACCCCGCUGUUCUGACGGUACCCAAAGAAUAAGCACCGGCUAACUUCGUG